AUGGGCUGCUUGCCGACGCUAGCCAUGCUGGCAGUCCAGGCGGGCUUUGCCGGCAUGAAUCUUCUCUCCAAGCUCUCGCUGGACACGGGCAUGAGCCCGUUCGUGCUCAUCGCCUGCAGGAGCUUCAUCGCCGCCGGUGUCCUCGCUCCCAUCGCGCUCUACUACGAGCGGAACCUCUGGGCUACGAUGAGCAGGAGGGUGAUCCUGGAGAUCUUCAUCUCCUCCACUCUCGGGAUGUCCCUCAGCGAGCUGCUCUACUUCCUGGGGUUCCAGUCGACGAGCCCCACAGUGGCGUCGGCGCUGGGCAACCUGGUGCCCGCCCUGACGUUCCUCAUCGCGGCGGCGGCCAAGAUGGAGACGUUGAGGCUCAAAACGCGCGCCGGGCAGGCCAAGGUCGCCGGCACCGUCGUCUGCCUCGGCGGAUCAACGGUCAUGCUCUUCUGCAAGGGCCCCCUGCUCAAGAUCUGGGCCUCGCCGCUCCACUGGAGGUACGCCGAGGAGAUCGCCGCCGCUGCGGCAUCAAAGGCCACCGGCGGCCGCAGCGCCGUGUCGGUCGGCGACGUGCUCAUCAUCCUCAGCUGCGUCGCCUGGGCCGGAUGGUUGGUUCAGCAGAACGAGACCUCGCAACGGUUCGCAGCGCCUUACACGAGCACCAUCAUCAUGUCGCUGAUCGUGGGCGUGGAGUUCGCGGUGGUGAGCGCCGCCGUGGAUCGCCGGGCCGCCGUGUGGGAGCUCGGGUCCGGCAUCCGGCUCUACUCCGUCCUCUACAUGGGGAUCGUGGGCUGGGGGGCCACCUUUGUGGUGAUGACGUGGUGCAUUAAGCUGCGUGGCCCACUGUUCGUCUCCAUGUUCAACCCCGUGGUCUUGGUGGUCUGCGCCGUGCUGGGCUGGGCGUUCCUCGGCGAAAAGAUACACCUGGGAGAGUAA
rnacentral:rRNA from 1 species